GGAGUACAAAAGGACAGCUAUAUAAUGCGAUGUCUUCUGUGUGAGCCAAAGCAAACCGACGUCUCAGCGUACAAAAACUCAACAUCUAACCUGAGGAAACAUGUUGCGAGGGUUCACUCCAACAAAUUGAGGAUGUAUACGGAAUUAAUGGACAGCCACAGAAAACGAAAGUCAUCCUCUUCUACCGAGCCACCUAUGAAGAACGCAAAACUUACAGACUCUUUCACUGGCUCUAGGCGAAUAACACAA